rnacentral:rRNA from 1 species
ACGGAAGGCAGCAGUGAGGAAUAUUGGUCAAUGGUCGAGAGACUGAACCAGCCAAGUAGCGUGAAGGAUGACUGCCCUAUGGGUUGUAAACUUCUUUUGUAUGGGAAUAAAGUGAGGUACGUGUACUUUUUUGUAUGUACCAUACGAAUAAGCAUCGGCUAAUUCCGUGCCAGCAGCCGCGGUAAUACGGAAGAUGCGAGCGUUAUCCGGAUUUAUUGGGUUUAAAGGGAGCGUAGGCCGUGCUUUAAGCGUGUUGUGAAAUGUAGGCGCCCAACGUCUGCACUGCAGCGCGAACUGGAGCACUUGAGUACGCAGGAAGUAGGCGGAAUUCGUCGUGUAGCGGUGAAAUGCUUAGAUAUGACGAAGAACUCCGAUUGGGAAGCCAGCUUACUGUAGCGCCACUGACGCUGAUGCUCGAAAGCGUGGGUAUCGAACAGGAUUAGAUACCCUGGUA